rnacentral:rRNA from 1 species
GGACUACCAGGGUAUCUAAUCCUGUAUGCUACCCACGCUUUCGCAGUUGAGUGUCAGUACUUGUCCAGGUCGCCGCCUUCACCUCUGGUGUUCCUCCCGAUCUCUACGCAUUUCACCGCUACACCGGGAAUUCCACGACCCUCUCCAAGACUCCAGUCUCACCGUUUCUGAGGCACUUCUUGAGUUAAGCUCAAGGCUUUCACCUCAGACAAAUGAGACCACCUACCUGCCCUUUACGCCCAAUAAUUCCGAGCAACGCUUGCACCCCUCGUAUUACCGCGGCUGCUGGCAC